CUGUGCUCCGCAACGGGAGAGGCCACGACAGUGAGAGGCCCGUGUAUUGCAAAAAACAAACAAACAAAAAAAACCCGGAUCCUGGUCCUGCCCAGCACAGAGAGACACGCCAAUAAGGCUUGUAUGUUCACUUCCAGAAGCCUCAAAUGGCCAGCCCCAGUGUGGUGGCGCGGCUCCUCCUCUGAGCGGAGAAAUGGGGGACAGGGUGGCAGAAAGACAAGAAAGAAACUUCCCGAGAUCUGGAGUUAUCCCGUUCAUCUAGGUGUGCAGGCCACGUGGCAGAUAGGACAAACUGAGUCCUGGAGGGCUCAGCUUUCCCACAGUAACCCAGCCAGCCAGUGGUACAGCCAGGGUUCUACAGCCAUUGGAGGAUAGAAACUGGAGCACAGAGAGGCGAAGGUCUUGCCCAAGGUCACACAGCAAUUCCAUAGCAGAGCCAGGAUGCAGGGACUCCAGGUCCUAUCUCUUCUGGCUGUCAGCCUGGUAAAGCUGCCCAGCUCUUUCACCCACUUUUGGCCUGUGCUGGGCGAGAGGUGGAGCGGGUGGGAUGAGGAGAGGCAGCGUGAUCUAAGAACUCCACUCAGGCCCAGACACUAGGACUGAACCGGUCCCCCUUGCGCCCUGGCGAGCCCACCCCAGAGAGACAGCACCUGCGAGUACAGCCGUGCCCAGGGUGGGAAGCCAGGCGUGGGGCUCGGCCUUCUGCACAUGUGAUCUCAUUGAACCCUCAGGCAACCCUGUGAGUUGAGCACCUCCGCUGUUUUCGAUUUUUCCAGAGAGGAAACUGGGGUGAGUAGGACCAAGGCCUCGGGACUCGCAGUCCAGUGCUCCAACCCACGGCGCUCAAGGCGGGAGGGGCCUGGCGGAGCGCCACACGGGGCGGGGCGCGGGGGCGGGCCCCUCAUCCCGGAUGCGCCCCCAGCCGGCUGGAGCUGCCCCGCGGGGUUCCCAGAGCAGGGCUGAGCAGGAAGACGGAACAAUGGGCAGCGGCUGCAGCGGGGCUGCUGGUUUCCGGAGCAGGGGUGGGGCGGGCUGGGGCCUGGCGGCCACAAAGACUGUGGGAACGAGGUGCCUGCGCAGGAGACUAAUGAGAUUAACGACUAACAUCUUUUGAGCACUCACUGUAUGCCAGGACCUGCUUUCAACGCUUUAGAGGAAUCCGCACCUUAUCCCUAUUUAGCCCCAUUUCACAGAUGAAGAAAUUGAGGCACAGAGAGUUUAAAUAAAAUGUCCAAGACUGCUGCACCCAAGCUCCUCCCACAGAGAGUUUCCCGAGACAGCAGGCUGGUGGGUUCGUGCUUGCCCGGUUCCCAGCGUUGAACACAAGGUGAGGAAACACUGCAGGUUUCGUAGGAUCCGGUUGGGUGAAGACUGGCCCUUCCCAGCGCCGCGGGAGACACGGGAAGACCCAGCCUGGCCAGCGGUGGUGGCUCCAGAAUCUGCAGAAGGCCUGGGUAGCUGGAGCAGGUGGAGGCGCCGGGCUGGGACUUGCAUUUUAUACGAGAUUAAGGCGUCAAAGUGGCACCGCCGACUGGGAAGGCACGUGAGAAUCUAGGGCACCUCUUACUCCCAACUGAGACAGACUGGGAUCCCCAGGUGCAGCAGGGAUGAGGCGGGGGACUGUUAAAGCCACUCCACUACAUCUGCUGGGAGAAAGCCCUUUUCCCAAAGAGGCUGAUGGGGCUUCUCCUCCAAACAUGAUGGACCAGCUGGAGACCCCCCUCCCGAAGCCUUCUUGCCCUCACAAGGUCAGCUGGGAGCACUGGAUGGGGAACCAGGAUACCUGAGAUCUGUGCUCUGGUUUUAUCCCCGUCGGGGGCUGCUGUAUGGCUUUGGACCAAUCAUUCUCCCUCUCUGGGCCUCUAGCUUCCCAUCCCUACCACACCAGGGACCUCCAAGGACUCUUCCCACUCUGACAGGUGGUCUGACAACAGCACUUUCCCUUUCUGGGGCCACCUGAGCUGCCCAGGUGUAUGAUCUGGUACAAGUCACCUCUCUGAACCUUCCUUUCAUCACCAAUUAUUAUCUUCCAAAGGCUGUAAUUUGGGGGUCACCCAGCAUCCACUAUCCCUUCUUAUGGUAUCAACCCCCAAUUUUCUUCAGGGGAAGCCUUCCUCCUCCCACCUCAGCCUCGUGCAGUGGGUGGAGUUGAGUCUACCCCUGACUACAAGGGGAUGAGAGUGACCAGGCCAGGCCGACACCCGAGUUCCAUUCCCCGAGGCUCCGGUGAACUGUCCAGGGGGUAGUCAUGCAGCCCUGUUCCCGUCACCAGCAGUCGGGCUUAGGACUUGUCCCAAAUGUUGAGAAGAAUGGAAGCAUCAAACCUGGGAGGGCUGGCGGCUGGAGUUGCCUCUGCUGGGAAUGGAGCCUUUGCAGAGCAGACAGAGCUGGGGACUGGGGCGUCAGGGCUUGGCGCCGUAGCCUGAGCCCUCCAGUCCAGCUGUGCCUGAAGCCUACUGCCUACCCUUAGGUUUUCCUUGUCCAAGAGCCAAUAAAAUACCUUUUUCACUUAAACCAGUUUGAAGUGGAUCUUCUGGUGCUCACAACCUAAAGAAUCAUGACCAUUUUGGGGUUUACUUGAUUCUAUGACACCAUCAAUUGUAAGAUUUUUUUUAAGAAAAAUAUAUCUACAGUAUUUAAUAACUUCUCGGUGAAAAAAAGCAUAUUAGGUGUGCCCUUUAAAAAUGGAGAGUAGUAUGUUUUUAGUUCUAAAAUUGCACAUCACAGUCACUUUGGUGACUUGAUCAAAGUGCUUCACAUUCUUUGGAUGAAUCCGCAAUCUUUAUUUUGCCUGCCUGAUGAUAGCCUUUUGAACACUCAGUAACCUUUUAUUUCCAUGUGGCAUCACUUUAGAAGUCACUUUAAGUGAUAAUUAAGGAUCCAAUCUGGUAAAAUUCCAUCAGGUUGGAUCUCAGCCACCCGAGCAACUGGAAGCAGACAGUGAGGACACCAAACUCCCCCUCUGCCUGCUGGCUGGCAUGUUCCUUGGACAUCAGUUGUGGGACACAUCCUCAUUCCAGAACCAGUGAAAUGUGUGUGUGGGACCCAUGUGUCAGAACUACUGUAGUUACUAUCAUAACUAUGAGACGUUUGCUGUGGGACAGGCACUGAGCUAAGCAGAACGAGAAAUGCUUCCAAAAAAAGUGAAUCCGAGAAGUUUGGAGUGUGAUCUGUACAUGGAGCGAUGGCGUGAGGUCAUUCGGGCUCCGUUUCUGCUCCUCACGGUCACAGCGCUGUCAACUGCUUAUUCACUUGCUGUUCAGGUGCGGGGGUGUGCAGAACACCGGAGGGAGCACCAGCUGUGUCUGGAAUAACACCCCGCUCAUUGCCUGCACUGCACAGCCUCCCCUUGCCCACCCUUGGCCCUCCACUGUGCUCAUUCCCUAGUGGUCACAUCUGUCAAUAAUUUCCCUUGUGUCUCUGAGAUUCUGUUUCUUGAUUAAGCAGGCUCUUUCCAAAGAUUUACUUUAAUCUUAUAUUCUUCAACAACAACAACAGUAUAAGCAAUUGGUGCAACAUGGUGGUAACUGUAGAAGAGAGAGUGAGGAGUUUGAACUAGUUGUCUCUAUGGACUGGCUGGGGUAAGGGCCAGGCAGGAAAGGAGGACUCCUUCCCUCACGGUCCAGCCUGAAAAUCACACUGAUAAAGUGUGUCCUGAACCUGACCGCUUCCUUACUACCCUCGCUCCUACCAGUCGGGUCAAGGCCUCCUUCAUCUCUGGCUGAAGCAACCCCAACAGCCAGCUCCUUGGUGUGUGCUUCCCUCCUUACCCCCGUUUCAAUUAUCCAUGGCUGUGAAAUAAACCACUUUAAAACCCGGGUCUUAAGUCUCACAGUUCUGUGGUUUCCCUGAGCUGAGGUGGUUGUUCGUUUAUGUGCUGUUCCAUUAUCCUAGAACAGUUUUCCUCCCAGCCUUCAGCUGGCUACUUCGCCACUCUCCUCACUGCCAUCACACUCUGGAUACCUGACAUUAUUUAUUUGUGCAUGUUUUGGAACUCCACUAGAACGGAAGGUCCUUGCGGGUGGCACCUUUCUCUUUCCUAUCCUGUACUCACUUCUAACACCUAGAACAGCACUGAUCACAGGGAUGGCAUACCAUAAUAUAUAUACUCUGUGGUUAACUGAAUUUAUUUCCCUAAAUCUUGGGAAUCUAUUGCUUUGAGAAAUAUACAAAUUAAUUCUAAACUAGGAAAAACUACAGUGGCAUUUGGCAGACAGAUCCAACAAUAUAUCAGACCUACACACUCACUAGCAAAUAUUUCCACCUUCCUAAUAAAAGCUGACAGCUGUUUUCCCGUGUACUCUAAAGGGCAGCUGCUGCAAAGCCUGGCUUCUGAUGGUUUGUAAUCAAUCUGCCCGAUGCAUGUAGGGAACUCGGGGAACUCAGAAGACCCACUCUGGGCAGAAGCCAGGGGAGUGCUGCCCUUGGCAUUUUAAUUUUAAUGCAUUUUUGCUGUCAGCUGUCUCUUAUUAAUUCACUGAAUUUAAUUAGAGAGCUGAACAAGAAUCCCUCAACUCUGCUUUCUCGGUGGUUCCUAAGAACACGGUUCAGUCCAAGGCUGUCAACCAAAGUGAACCCACAUUUAUCCAGGAAGCAGGUGCAUGCUGAGGGCAGAAUUCUUACAGACACACAUCCCACAUGUGUCAAAGACAAAUCUAAGUUCAAGAUAAAGUUAAUAAAGCCUGUUUAUUCAGAAACUUGCAGCAUGGGAACUCUUUUGCUGUCACCUUUGCUUCAGCAGCAGUUCAAAGGUGUCAGGGAGUAUAUUUUAUUGAAUAAAAAGGAAAUACCGACGCGGUAUCUCAUUGGAAAACGUUCCCGUAAGGCAGGAUUUGUGGAACGAGGGACAGACUAACCGGUCAAGUACAUUUGGCCAUCCUCGGUUAGCUGCAAGGGGCCAGGCAGUUUCGGGACAUUUCAAAAGAGGAAGGGGCAGAGGGUGUGUGGCCAUCCCUUUCCUGGAACAAACAGGGGUCAGUAGAACGCUUUUUUGUAGUCAAAACUGUCAUCCUGGUUAUUGGGGGGCAGGGGAGGUGUGUGGCCACAUGAUAAUUACAGUUUUAGAGCUGGAAGUUAUCUUAAAGUUCACCUGGUCACUCUGACCUACCAUGCAUGCCCCAGCCCCCACCCCGAAUCCAUUCAACAAAUGGAAACACUCAGAAACAGGGUAGUUCAGUGCCUAAGCUGUAGCAAAGGUCAGAAGCAGAAUUAGAGUUCUCCUGAAUCUUAGGACUGUGAAUAUAACUGUCAUGCUUCUCAAAAAUAAAACAAAAACGAAGAAAAGGAAAAUAAAGUCAGUAGAUCCUGGAUACCGUUCUGGGGCUCAGAGGCGCUGGGCUUCAGGGGAGCCAGCACUGGGGAAGGGGUGAUGUAUCUCUGGUCCAGAUCAGUCAAUUCUCCACAGAUUUAAUUCUGAGCAAGGACCAUGAGGGAAAAGUGGGUGGGUGGAUGGGUGGGUGGGUGUCUCGAAAAAGAAAGUGCUUGUUUUUUAAGGAGACCAUGGAAGAGACAACCCAUUUUCUGCCAUGCGACGUAGGUGGGGUUUGUUUUCGGUGUGUGGGAAGAGGCUUAUACAACUUGGCAACACGAACUGAAAGUCAUAAAAAUCUUUUGACCCUACAGCCCUCCUUCUAGUGUUUUAUCCUAUAGAAUCAAGAUAUUUAGGAAAGAAAAAAACUACAUGUUUAAAGAUGUAUACUGACUUUUUAAUAAAAGCAAAAGAUUGGAAAUAACCUAAGUAACCAACAAUAGGGUGUCAGGAAACGUGAAAGACUUUGAAAGAGCUUCCCUCCCUCCCCAGUUACUGGGUGUUCCAUUUACCCAUCCACCCUCCACCCUUCUGGGUUGUCUCCACCUUUCACUCUCUUUAAGCUACCUUACAAUGACGUACAUUGAGGGAAACUGAUAAUGCAGACGAUUCUUGUGCAGAGAAAUGCAGAUUUCAUCCAGUGGAAUUUAACUGAUUGUCUGUGGAUACUGGCCAAUUUUGCCAGUUUUGUAUAUAUUAAGCAAAUUCAUUUCAGCAUUCCUACUGGACUUAUUAUUAAAACGUCUUACUGGUUCUCUCAUUAAUUAAUGAGUUAACUAAAGUCUUUAACAUGUUCAUUUUGUAUUUGAGUCAUGAUUUUACUUCCUAAAAACAUUUGUCCUUUAACAAGGUGGUUAAGGGAAAUUCCCUGGCGGUCCAGUGGUUAGGACUUGGCGCUUUCACUGCCGGGGCCCAGGUUCAAACCCUGGUCGGGGAACUAAGAUCCUGCAAGCCAUGGACAAAAAAAAAAGGCAGUUAAAUUUAGUGUAUUCAUUUGAUUUUAUUUACAGCCCUCUUAAGAUAGUUAUAAAGACCUUACAGCAACAAGAACAAAUAUUCUUAAUCAAAAACAUUCAGCGGAGAAAAAACCAGAAUGCAAAAUUUAUACUAGGC